rnacentral:rRNA from 1 species
GGGCCCGCACAAGCGGAGGAACAUGUGGUUUAAUUCGAUGAUACGCGAGGAACCUUACCCGGGCUUGAAUUGCAACUGAAUGGGUCGGAGACGGUCCAGCCGCAAGGCAGUUGUGAAGGUGCUGCAUGGUUGUCGUCAGCUCGUGCCGUGAGGUGUCGGCUCAAGUGCCAUAACGAGCGCAACCCUUAUUGCCAGUUGCCAUCGGUGAAAAGCCGGGCACUCUGGCGAGACUGCCGUCGUAAGAUGUGAGGAAGGUGGGGAUGACGUCAAAUCAGCACGGCCCUUACGUCCGGGGCUACACACGUGUUACAAUGGGGGGUACAGAAGGCAGCUACACCGCGAGGUGCGGCGAAUCGGAAAAGCCCCUCUCAGUUCGGACUGGAGUCUGCAACCCGACUCCACGAAGCUGGAUUCGCUAGUAAUCGCGCAUCAGCCAUGGCGCGGUGAAUACGUUCCCGGGCCUU